CUACUUUCCACUUAAACAACAUGUGAUCAAGUUCCAGGACAUUUUACCUGACUUUUAUGUACUAUUUAUGUAAACACUGGAAACUUUGACGUGUUUUAAUGGGCGUGCAUUGAGCAUUCCAGUCGCAUUUAAACUGGAGCGGAGGGAGUUAACAUGGAAACGGGAAAGUAACUUUAGCAAAACUCCUUCUCUCAGUGUUGUUUUCACUGCUUUCAGGUAACUUUAGUCACUAAAAUCACAGAAAUAAUACAUACAACUCUUCCUGACAAAAAUCGUUUAGUGCUAACAAUAUAAGAGGUAGGCAAACUAUAGAUUUGAGCUCUUAUUAAUGAAAUUUUGGGCUUUUAAUCAUAUCUUAUUUGUAGAUGAGCGAUUUUGAUAGCUUUGUAAAUGUUUUGCUGGUAAUUUGUCAAUAGAUAAAUGGAAGUAAGCUAAUUAAUUUAACCUAAAAGUCUGCACUGUAGAGUCUAUCAGUGACGGCACUUACAUGCAGGCUAAAAUGGCCUGAAACUAUUUCAAACAUGUUUUGAUUUUUCAUGGUAAACAAAUAUUGAUUAAAAAAAAUGUACUGUGAUUUCAGAAGCAUCAGAAAAAAAAAAAGAAAACUCUAAAACAGAGGGGAAGUUCCAAGAAAAUUUCUAGUGGGAGCUGCUGACAGAGAUAUAGGAAACACAGGUAAUCUGAGAAAGCAUAUUAAAUAACUUCAUAUGCGUUUUAAGAUCUGUAAAAUCUCUUUUCUGCAUUUCACCUAUGCUCUAAUUUGUUUAUUUCUAAUAAACCUGACAUUGUAUACUAUUUAUUGUUGGCUCCAUGACAAAUUGUUUCUAUUUUCUUCCAUGCUGAUGGCCAUGCUGCAGAGCUGGAGAGGAUCUCCCGUUGAAGAACAUCCCCAAUACGCUAUGAACCAUCUGACUAGUGCAAAGAAUAGCAGCUCGGGUGGAGAAAUAUGCUGAUUAGUUAAUGUAUUAAUUAUUUAAAUCAUUUGAUAAACUUGUAAUUUAGAUUACAUUUUAUAUUGAAAUACUGCAUUGUAGGUUACAUUAUUGCUUAUAUUUAUUCAUUUCAGGUGCACCCAGUGGCUUUUGACUAUUUGAGGGUCAAAUGGUUGUGAAUUCAUACCUCAACUUUGUGCUGGGAUUGCAGUCUUAUUACAACUUCAGUCUGGCAUCCCGGGAGCAGGCAUUUUUUGCACACUUGAAUUUUUUCAAAGGUAACAUGUUUUACUUUUAUUUGAGAAAAAGUUACUUAUUUAGUUUAAAGGGUUACUCUACCCCAUAAUGAAGAUUUAAUCACUAAUCACUUACCCCCAUGUCAUCCCAAACAUGUAAAAGCUUCAUUCGUCUUUGGAACACAAUUUAAGAUAUUUUGGAUAAGAACCGGGAGGUUUGUGACUGUCCCAUAGACUGCCAAACAAUUAAAACUGUCAAAGCCCAGAAAAGUAUGAAAAGCAUCGUCAGAAUACUCCAUCUGAAAUCAGUGGUUCAACUGUAAUUUUACAAAGCUACGAGAAUACUUUUUGUACACAAAGAAAACAAAAAUAAUGACUUUAUUUAACAAUUUGUCUCCUCUACAUCAGCGUAGCACCAUUUUGGAGAGUAUCCACUGGAAGCAAACAUCGUACGCUGUUAUGUGUCAGCCGCACCACACGGAUACGCUGUUUUUAUUCAAAUCAAAGCAUAAAUAAACGUAGAAAGCAUAUCCGUGUGACCCAACUGACACAGAAUAGUGUAUGCAGUUUAUGUCCAGUGGAUACUCUCCAAAAUGGAGCUACGUCUUUAUUUUUGUUUUCUUUGCUUACAAAAAGUAUUCUUGUCGCUUCAUUAUGUUAUGGUUGAACCACUGAAGGUAGAUGGACUAUUCUGACGAUGCUUUUCAUACUUUUCUGGACCUUGACAGUGGUAUUUACUUGGCAGUCAAUGGGACAGUCUCAAGCCUCGCAGUUUUCAUCCAAAAUAUCUUAAAUUGUGUUCCAAAGACGAACGGAGCUUUUACGGGUUUGGAACCACAUGGAUAUUGCUGUAAAAUAAACUACAAGUUUAAUUAAAUGUUACUGCAAAAAAAAAAAAAAAAAUACUAAUCCAUUUUACAGCAAUUAACAUCAUUUUUACAUGAUUGUAUUGGCAACUUUAUCAAUGGUGUCAAAAGUAUUCACAUUCAUUACUCAAGUAGAAGUAUAGAUACUAGGGUUUAAAAUGACUUUUGUAGAAAUUGAAGUAUCAACUCAAGCUUUUUACUCAAGUAAAAGUGUAAAAGUACUGGUUUCAAAACUACUUAGAAGUAUAAAAGUAAUGUAAGGAAAAAAAUGCCAUUAAGAACAAAAGCUUAGGCCAUGCCACAGGGGCCUAUUGUGCACUACCCCACCUCCUCAAAAAACAUUAUUCUAAAGGCUAUAGGCCAUAAUGCCUAUAAUGUUAUAUUAAAAUAUUCAUGUUGAAAAAUUUGGGAUGCACUAGGCUACCUGUUUCAGCCGCAUAUAUGCCCAUUGAAAAUGAACACACUUUAGUAUAAUGCAAAUACAUUAAAGAGCACCUAUCAUGGAAUUUUUAAAUUUACCUUUCAUGUAGUGUGUAACAUAGAUCUAAGUGAACAAAAACAUCCUGCAAAGUUUGAAAUAUGACAGUGCACCGUAUAUAAAGUUAUUGUCUUUCAAAAGUAAGAGUCGACUCUGAGUCAUUUUUAUGAAUCGUUAGAAGACCGAAGCUUUUUCUCUGACUAGAUGACGUCAACUUGUCAAGUUAUUUGAAUACGAUACGCCCACUUAUUGCGCUCCAAGACGCC
ensembl:lncRNA